UGUUGACAUUAUAGUUGCGCAGGAACUUUGUUAACUCUAGAGAAACUCGGGCAAAUCGCACAUCCCCGUGGCGGCGACUUUCAAUGCGGACGUCAUCCAUAUCAACUUUCGAUGCCAGUUUCUGCGCCUACCAUGGUGACCACGGGUAACGGGGAAUCAGGGUUCCAUUCUGUACAGGGACCCUGAGAAAUGGCUACCACAUGCAAGGAAGACAGCAGGCGUGCAAAUGAUACACUCCCAACGCGGGAAGGUAGUUACGACA